rfam:Erinaceus europaeus unplaced genomic scaffold scaffold00270, whole genome shotgun sequence
GGAUGUGAGGGCGAUCUGGCUGCGACAUCUGUCACCCCAUUGAUCGCCAGGGUUGAUUCCGCUGAUCUGGCUGGCUAGGCGGGUGUCCCCUUCCUCCCUCACUGCUCCAUGUGCGUGCCUCUCGAAGCUGUACUCUAGGUUGAAGAGGACGGCCUUCCCCAAAUAGAGACAGACCGGUCUUUGGUCAAGGGUAUAUGAGUAGCUGCACUCCCCUGCUAGAACCUCCAAACAAGCUCUCAAGAGAGUUACAAUUAAAAAAAAAAAAAAGAGAGAGAGAGAGUUACAAUUUUAUACCAUCUCCACCACCAGAU